CUANCNNUNAAUUGNCCCCUGGGAGUACNGUCGCNAGAUNAAACUCNAAGGAUUGACGGGACCCGCAAAACGAUGGAUGAUGUGGAUUAAUUCGAUGCAACGCGAAGAACCNUACCUGUCUUGACAUGUACGGNAUCCUCCAGAGACGGAGGAGUGCCUCGGGAGCCGUAACACAGGUGCUGCAUGGCUGUCGUCAGCUCGUGUCGUGAGAUGUUGGGUUAAGUCCCGCAACGAGCGCAACCCUUGUCAUUAGUUGCCAUCAUUUAGUUGGGCACUCUAAUGAGACUGCCGGUGACAAGCCGGAGGAAGGUGGGGAUGACGUCAAGUCCUCAUGGCCCUUAUGACCAGGGCUUCACACGUCAUACAAUGGUCGGUACAGAGGGUAGCCAAGCCGCGAGGUGGAGCCAAUCUCACAAAACCGAUCGUAGUCCGGAUUGCACUCUGCAACUCGAGUGCAUGAAGUCGGAAUCGCUAGUAAUCGCAGGUCAGCAUACUGCGGUGAAUACGUUCCCGGGUCUUGUACACACCGCCCGUCACACCAUGGGAGUGGGGGAUACCAGAAGUAGGUAGGGUAACCGCAAGGAGCCCGCUUACCACGGUAUGCUUCAUGACUGGGGUGAAGUCGUAACAAGGUAGCCA
rnacentral:rRNA from 1 species